rnacentral:rRNA from 1 species
AUGUCUUCGUCGCCUCCCACCCCGUCGCUCCCGCUGCCGACCGUCACCACCGCGCCGCUGGCCAUCUACACUGCGCCGCUGCCCUCCCCGUCCGCGCCGCUGGUCGCAUCCUCCGGCGCCGCCACCGCCCAGAUGUCGGCGCCCUCCACCGCACCACCGUCCGCCGUCUACACCCCGGAGGAGAUCACCGGGGUCCUCAACGACCUCGUCACAGCCGUCCAGGGGAUCCGGCUAUACCUGGCCAGCCCCUACGGGCCGCCGCCGCCCCUGCCGCUGACCGCCAUCGCCGGGCUGCCGGCCCUGCCGUGGUACUCGCCGCAUCCAGGGGCCUCCGCGGCAUUCGCUAGGACGCUACUGCCCCAGCUGCAGCUGUCGCCCACCGCCGCCCCGCAGUGGCCGGGGCCGGCUCCUGCCGCGCCUCCAGCGCCCAUCGCCGCCCCCGCGCCNNNNNNNNNNNNNNNNNNNNNNNNCGCUCCUGCCGGCCUCCGCCGCGCCCGGCGCUCCGCCGCAGCCGCCGCUGCCGCUGCAGCAGCCACCGCCGGUUAG